GAAGGUAUAGCUCAACUGGUAGAGCACAUGCUUAGCAUGCACAAGGUUCUGAGUUCAAUCCCUAGUACCUCCU
rnacentral:tRNA from 1 species